AGAGUUUGAUCCUGGCUCAGAUUGAACGCUGGCGGAAUGCUUUACACAUGCAAGUCGAACGGCAGCACGGGAGCUUGCUCCUGGUGGCGAGUGGCGAACGGGUGAGUAAUGCGUCGGAACGUACCGAGUAAUGGGGGAUAACGCACCGAAAGGUGUGCUAAUACCGCAUACGCCCUGAGGGGGAAAGCAGGGGAUCGUAAGACCUUGCGUUAUUCGAGCGGCCGACGUCUGAUUAGCUAGUUGGUGGGGUAAAGGCCUACCAAGGCGACGAUCAGUAGCGGGUCUGAGAGGAUGAUCCGCCACACUGGAACUGAGACACGGUCCAGACUCCUACGGGAGGCAGCAGUGGGGAAUUUUGGACAAUGGGGGCAACCCUGAUCCAGCCAUUCCGCGUGAGUGAAGAAGGCCUUCGGGUUGUAAAGCUCUUUCAGCUGGAACGAAACGGUACGCUCUAACAUAGCGUGCUAAUGACGGUACCAGCAGAAGAAGCACCGGCUAACUACGUGCCAGCAGCCGCGGUAAUACGUAGGGUGCGAGCGUUAAUCGGAAUUACUGGGCGUAAAGCGUGCGCAGGCGGAUUGUUAAGCAAGACGUGAAAUCCCCGGGCUUAACCCUGGGAAUGGCGUUUUGAACUGGCAGUCUAGAGUGUGUCAGAGGGGGGGUAGAAUUCCACGUGUAGCAGUGAAAUGCGUAGAGAUGUGGAGGAAUACCAAUGGCGAAGGCAGCCCCCUGGGAUAACACUGACGCUCAUGUACGAAAGCGUGGGUAGCAAACAGGAUUAGAUACCCUGGUAGUCCACG
rnacentral:rRNA from 1 species